rnacentral:rRNA from 1 species
AGAGUUUGAUCCUGGCUCAGGACGAACGCUGGCGGCGUGCUUAACACAUGCAAGUCGAACGGAAAGGCCCUUCGGGGUACUCGAGUGGCGAACGGGUGAGUAACACGUGGGUGAUCUGCCCUGCACUUUGGGAUAAGCCUGGGAAACUGGGUCUAAUACCGAAUAUGACCAUGCGCCUCCUGGUGUGUGGUGGAAAGCUUUUGCGGUGUGGGAUGGGCCCGCGGCCUAUCAGCUUGUUGGUGGGGUAAUGGCCUACCAAGGCGACGACGGGUAGCCGGCCUGAGAGGGUGACCGGCCACACUGGGACUGAGAUACGGCCCAGACUCCUACGGGAGGCAGCAGUGGGAAUAUUGCACAAUGGGCGCAAGCCUGAUGCAGCGACGCCGCGUGAGGGAUGACGGCCUUCGGGUUGUAAACCUCUGUCAGCACAGACGAAGCGCAAGUGACGGUAUGUGCAGAAGAAGGACCGGCCAACUACGUGCCAGCAGCCGCGGUAAUACGUAGGGUCCGAGCGUUGUCCGGAAUUACUGGGCGUAAAGAGCUCGUAGGUGGUUUGUCGCGUUGUUCGUGAAAACUCACAGCUUAACUGUGGGCGUGCGGGCGAUACGGGCAGACUUGAGUACUGCAGGGGAGACUGGAAUUCCUGGUGUAGCGGUGGAAUGCGCAGAUAUCAGGAGGAACACCGGUGGCGAAGGCGGGUCUCUGGGCAGUAACUGACGCUGAGGAGCGAAAGCGUGGGGAGCGAACAGGAUUAGAUACCCUGGUAGUCC